CAUGGCUCAGAUUGAACGCUGGCGGCAGGCCUAACACAUGCAAGUCGAACGGUAACAGGAAGCAGCUUGCUGCUUUGCUGACGAGUGGCGGACGGGUGAGUAAUGUCUGGGAAACUGCCUGAUGGAGGGGGAUAACUACUGGAAACGGUAGCUAAUACCGCAUAACGUCGCAAGACCAAAGAGGGGGACCUUCGGGCCUCUUGCCAUCGGAUGUGCCCAGAUGGGAUUAGCUAGUAGGUGGGGUAACGGCUCACCUAGGCGACGAUCCCUAGCUGGUCUGAGAGGAUGACCAGCCACACUGGAACUGAGACACGGUCCAGACUCCUACGGGAGGCAGCAGUGGGGAAUAUUGCACAAUGGGCGCAAGCCUGAUGCAGCCAUGCCGCGUGUAUGAAGAAGGCCUUCGGGUUGUAAAGUACUUUCAGCGGGGAGGAAGGCGAUAAGGUUAAUAACCUUGUCGAUUGACGUUACCCGCAGAAGAAGCACCGGCUAACUCCGUGCCAGCAGCCGCGGUAAUACGGAGGGUGCAAGCGUUAAUCGGAAUUACUGGGCGUAAAGCGCACGCAGGCGGUCUGUCAAGUCGGAUGUGAAAUCCCCGGGCUCAACCUGGGAACUGCAUUCGAAACUGGCAGGCUAGAGUCUUGUAGAGGGGGGUAGAAUUCCAGGUGUAGCGGUGAAAUGCGUAGAGAUCUGGAGGAAUACCGGUGGCGAAGGCGGCCCCCUGGACAAAGACUGACGCUCAGGUGCGAAAGCGUGGGGAGCAAACAGGAUUAGAUACCCUGGUAGUCCACGCCGUAAACGAUGUCGACUUGGAGGUUGUGCCCUUGAGGCGUGGCUUCCGGAGCUAACGCGUUAAGUCGACCGCCUGGGGAGUACGGCCGCAAGGUUAAAACUCAAAUGAAUUGACGGGGGCCCGCACAAGCGGUGGAGCAUGUGGUUUAAUUCGAUGCAACGCGAAGAACCUUACCUACUCUUGACAUCCAGAGAACUUUCCAGAGAUGGAUUGGUGCCUUCGGGAACUCUGAGACAGGUGCUGCAUGGCUGUCGUCAGCUCGUGUUGUGAAAUGUUGGGUUAAGUCCCGCAACGAGCGCAACCCUUAUCCUUUGUUGCCAGCGGUUAGGCCGGGAACUCAAAGGAGACUGCCAGUGAUAAACUGGAGGAAGGUGGGGAUGACGUCAAGUCAUCAUGGCCCUUACGAGUAGGGCUACACACGUGCUACAAUGGCGCAUACAAAGAGAAGCGACCUCGCGAGAGCAAGCGGACCUCAUAAAGUGCGUCGUAGUCCGGAUUGGAGUCUGCAACUCGACUCCAUGAAGUCGGAAUCGCUAGUAAUCGUGGAUCAGAAUGCCACGGUGAAUACGUUCCCGGGCCUUGUACACACCGCCCGUCACACCAUGGGAGUGGGUUGCAAAAGAAGUAGGUAGCUUAACCUUCGGGAGGGCGCUUACCACUUUGUGAUUCAUGACUGGGGUGAAGUCGUAACAAGGUAACCGUAGGGGAACCUGCGGUUGGAUCACCUCCUUACCUUAAAGAA
rnacentral:rRNA from 1 species